ensembl:rRNA 5S_rRNA 5S ribosomal RNA
GUCCACGGCCAUACCACCCUGAAUGCGCCCGAUCUUGUCUGAUCUCGGAAGCUAAGCAGGGCCGGGCCUGCUUAGUACUUGGGAUGGGACAAUAGGAGCUCCUAGGUCACAGGAAU